rnacentral:tRNA from 2 species
GCUGGUGUGGCUCAGUCGGUAGAGCAGCUGAUUCGUAAUCAGCAGGUCGCAGGUUCGAAUCCCGUCACCAGCUCCA